GACGAACGCUGGCGGCGUGCCUAAUACAUGCAAGUUGAGCGAUGAAGCUUGGUUCUUGCACCACUUUGGAGAGCAGCGAACGGGUGAGUAACGCGUGGUGAAUCUGCCUUUGAGCGGGGGACAACAUUUGGAGACGCAUGCUCAUACCGCAUACCCACUUUAGACAUAAGUUUUAAGUUUGAUAGAUGCAAUUGCAUAACUCAAAGCUGAUCCCGCGUUGUAUUGGCUAGUUGGUGAGGUAAAGGCCCACCAAGGCGGUGCUACAUAGCCGACCGGGGAGGGGGGUAGGCCGCAUGGGGACUGGGACACGGCCCAAGGGCCUGCGGGAGGCAGCAGUAGGGAAUCUUCGGCAAUGGACGAAAGUCUGACCGAGCAACGCCGCGUGAGAGGAGAAGGUGGUCGGUUCGGGAAACUCGGUUUGUGGUGAAGAACGUUGGUGGGAGUGGAAAGCUCAUCAAGUGACGGUAACUACACAGAAAGCGCCGGCUAACUACGUG
rnacentral:rRNA from 1 species